rnacentral:lncRNA from 1 species
UUAGAGAGGCCAAUGGCUUCCGUGUAUGGCCUUGCAGUCUUGCCCUCAAUGCCUGUCUCUUGACCUUGACACCCAUCCUCACCACAUCAUCUCUGACCUUGGCGCCCAUCCUCACUGAGGCCAAGCUCUCUUGACUCAGUCAUCAGUUCCAGCUAUGCUGUCGUCCAGAACCGUGAAUCCUUCCUGACAGGUCAAUGACACAGACCCAGCAGCAGAAAGGGAGACCUGUCUUUUGGUCUAUUGUCCCCUCUGUCCAUGAAGAACUGAAGAGAACUACACCAUCUUUGACAACAAGGUGGAAAUAACCAGGAGCAAGAGCCAAGACAAUCGGCCACACCAGCACCUUCAUCUGCAUCCGAGGAAGACAGCUGUUAGACAGCUACAGUUGCCUGCUCUGACCGAGAAGAAGGUGGCUGACCUCAGUACUCUGAACGAAGUGGGCUAUCAGAUCCGGAUCUAGCCAGGCAAGGCCAGCAAGGCUUCUAUGGUGCUCUUCUCUGCGCUUUACCCAGCAGCUUCAGGAGGAACUGCAACUUGUGGAGUUUUGAUUUUGAAGGAUUUACCUGGAGAUAGAAUCUGAGUGGGUUUUUGAAAAACUCACUGGUCAGCAGGCAUGACUGGGCUGAAGUGACGGACAAACCCCUGGGUUGACUGACUCCCUCACUCAGGAUCUCAAGAACAAUGUUACUGCAGUUUUCUAUUUUUCCAUUUGCCGACUUUCCGCUUGCUUUGGACAUUACGCCUCGGCUAUAGUAACCGUUUGUGGAGUCCCCUCCCACUUUUGGUACAGCAGGCAGCUCAGCCAGUACCGCCGUCUUCUCAGCAAUAACAAGCGAGGAUGGGUGGCUUCUUUAAACAGUUGAUAUUACCUCAGCGUUUGGCAUCAGAUAUGCAGUCUUAAUGA